rnacentral:rRNA from 1 species
ACGAACGCUAGCGGCGUGCCUAAUGUAUGCAAGUCGAGCGGGGUAACGGGCUUCGGCCUGUUAUUCAGCGGCAAACGGUUGAGUAACACGUAGGCAACCUGCCCCAGAGACGGGGAUAGCCCGCCGAAAGGCGGAUUAAUACCGGAUGUGGCCGGAGGAGACCUCUCCUUCGUGCUAAAGGGAGCAAUCCGCUCUGGGAUGGGCCUGCGGCCUAUCAGCUUGUUGGUGGGGUAACGGCCUACCAAGGCGACGACGGGUAGCUGGUCUGAGAGGAUGGUCAGCCAGACAGGGACUGAGACACGGCCCUGACUCCUUUGGGGGGCAGCAAUGAGGGAUAUUGCACAAUGGGGGCAACCCUGAUGCAGCGACGCCGCGUGGGUGACGAAGUCUUUCGGGAUGUAAAGCCCUUUUCUCGGGGAAGAGCACGGACGGUACCCGAGGAAUAAGCCCCGGCUAACUACGU